UACGAAGGGGGCUAGCGUUGCUCGGAAUCACUGGGCGUAAAGGGUGCGUAGGCGGGUUUUUAAGUCAGGGGUGAAAUCCUGGAGCUCAACUCCAGAACUGCCUUUGAUACUGAAGAUCUUGAGUUCGGGAGAGGUGAGUGGAACUGCGAGUGUAGAGGUGAAAUUCGUAGAUAUUCGCAAGAACACCAGUGGCGAAGGCGGCUCACUGGCCCGAUACUGACGCUGAGGCACGAAGGCCAGGGGAGCAAACGGG
rnacentral:rRNA from 1 species